CAGUUAAAAUUCUCUUCCAUGAAAAGAGGAGAAAUAUAUUAAGUGGGGGCAUAGAUCCAAGCAAAGUAAAGCUAUCGACAUACCAGUGGCACUACUACCAGUCCACAGUAGUAUUUUACCCACAUAUAUUCAUGUGUACAUAUGACAAUUACACCCAUACAUCAUAAACACACAUAUUGUGCUCGUGUGCACUCUGGUCUUGAUAUGUGGGUCCAUUCUGCGCAGAAGCAACACACUGCUGGAGGCUCGUCCGCUUUCAAGGGCAAAUAAGGUCACAAGACCACCCUCUAUCGCGGGAAAUACCAAAUGUUACAUCAUCAAGCUUUAUUGUAUUUUUUUUACUCUAAUUAUGUAGGCAGCGAAUGUAUUAAUGGACAACGGAUUGCGUCAACCUGAAAAAACGGGGGUAAUUUGAUCCUCAUCGCGCAACAGAACGAAAGUAUUUCUGCGUAUGAUGCAAAGGUCCUUGGGUAUUACUUUGCUUCUCUCUAUUUAUAUAUAUAUAUAUAUAUAUAUAUAUAUAUAUAUAUAUGUAUGUAUAUUUGUAGUAUACGCAUGAGGAUAAUGUUAAGGAUUGGUAUGUUGAAUAAGCAUUUUUCGAGUGGAGGCUCGUCACUGUACGUGUUAAACGUCACGUACCAUUCAUACUUUCUUUUAACGUUAAGUACUUCUAUUCCAUUAUUGAUUAUAUCUAAUCAAUUUUCAAUUUAUGUUCAUUUAAAAUUAACUUUCUCAUGCAAUCUUUGUUAGUAUUUGUUUUAUUCAUUUUUUAUAUUAUAACUUACGUCAAUGCCAUCGAUUCCAGGGCAAUACCUAAUGCCCUUGAUUGAUGUCAAUUUUUUAAAUUAAAUUAUAAAAAAAAUCUAUUCUUAGUAAUUACAUCACAAUCCCGAAGUUAGCAGACAAUUAAAAAUUUUUGGACAUGUUUUUCAACGAUUAAAUUUGAAGAAAAAAAAAAACUAAAAAAAUGCACAUGUAGAAAAUUCAAAAGACUACAAGUGCAAUUUUUUUUCAAAUUUAUGGUUUAAAAAAAAUCCAAAAAUUAUUAGACGUCGGCUAACUUCAGUAUCAUAUUACAUCAUGAUAAAUUUAAUACGUCAUAUUUAAUUAUUUAUUUGUUUAAAGAUCAUGUUCGCGGCUUAUACUUGAUCACGAACUUUUAUAUGAAUCAAGUGACGUAGCAAUUGAUUUUUUUUAAAAUCAAGAGCAUAAUUUUAUUUUAAAUACAACAAAUAAGUAAUGAAUGAUUAGAGUUAUCGAUAUUUUUAUGAAAAUAACUUUUUAAUUGAGAUAAGAGUCGGAUAUUAUUUUUAAAAAUUUUAAAUAUAUAUAAUUGGAUUACGACCUACCUCAAAUUAUGUAAUAUUUAAUUUUUCUAAUUGAUUUUCGUUAAUUUUUAUUAAUAUAAUUUUAUUUGACAGCGAUAGUCUCCUGACCCAGUAAUAAAUUAAUUUUAUUUAAUAUUUAACAUAAUUGUUAUCUGACAUUAUCGAAUAGAAUGGAAGAUUUUUUAAAUCACCCGGUAUUAAUUGACUUUUAAUUUAAAAUUGAUAAGGGAUUCCCUGAGUUAUUUAUUUUUAAUGUCAAAGUCUAUUUAUUCAAGCAAAUUCAAAUUAAU